GAAACAGAGAAGAGAUAGAGUUAAAGCCACUCACAGAUCGGUCCAUGUCAGCGACGAAAGCUGGAUUGCUUCCAGACACAAGGCAGCCGAGGAGGCGCGGACAAAUUGCAGGACAGAUGGGUAAUAAUCCAGAAGAACGGGACUGAAUGGAUUUUCCGAAUGGUUGGAAGGACGGCUAGGCACCAAGGGGAAAAAGGUCUUUGGGCUGUGGGAGGAAACCGAAGUACUUGGAGGAAACCCACCAAGCACAGCAAGAUCAUGCAAACUCCACAAACACAGACCCUGAGGCAGGAAUCGAACCUGGACCCUGGAGGAUGUCACUGUGCCGCCUUUGCAAGUGAUUUCUGAGUACCAGUCUAUACCUGUCCAUCUACUCCAGGGUGUGGCUACAUCAUAAAUACAGACAGGCAUAGUUUCUUCAGAGGUGGACUUUUCAAGGCAACAGUUUCAGUGCUUUUAUUAUUUCUGGGAACAAUGGCAGAUAAAAAGCCAAAAGGUCAAACCCCUCAGCGCGAUAAGGUCAAAAAAUCCCAGGAUGAGGGCAAGGGCAAAGGGAAAACCCAAGAGCAUGGACAUGGGCAUGGGCCAGGUAAAGGCCAAGGUCAUGACAAGGUUCACAGUCCUGAUCACGGUCAUGGCCAAGCACAUGGAAAGGAGGGAAAAAACAAACCAAAAUGACAGAGUUGAAUGAAGAAACAACAGAUGUCUGCCUGCUUCUUCUUGCCCACACAUCACUAAUAAAGAUAAAAUGUGUAUAAGCCAGAAA